rnacentral:rRNA from 1 species
UACGUAGGGGGCAAGCGUUGUCCGGAUUUAUUGGGCGUAAAGAGCGUGUAGGCGGCCAGAUAGGUCCGUUGUGAAAACUGGAGGCUUAACCUCCAGACGUCGAUCGAAACCAUCUGGCUAGAGUCCGGAAGAGGAGAAUGGAAUUCCUGGUGUAGCGGUGAAAUGCGCAGAUAUCAGGAAGAACACCGAUGGCGAAGGCAGUUCUCUGGGACGGUACUGACGCUGAGACGCGAAAGCGUGGGGAGCGAACAGG